rfam:Candidatus Nomurabacteria bacterium RIFOXYA1_FTLL_35_17 rifoxya1_full_scaffold_464, whole genome shotgun sequence.
UGUAGGUGCCGGAUAACUACUCUGACGCAAGUCGGGGAGGAAAGUCCGAACACAGACCAGUUCAUUCUGGAAAAGUAGAGGGUAACGCCCUCCCAUAGCGAUAUGGAGUUGCGAACAGUGACGAUGCCGGCUUGCCCCGCCUUGGCGGGGUGAAUCCGGAGUGAAACGGCUAAAUACUUACUCCUGUGCAAGAUCGUGUCCCGACUUCGGUUAGGAAGAAUCGCUUGAGUCCCUCAGUAAUGCGGGACCUAGAUAAAUGGUUAUCAUUUUGGCUUCGGCCAGAAAACAGAAUUCGGCUUAUAGACACCUACAAAAA